CCUACGGGUGGCAGCAGUGGGGAAUAUUGGUCAAUGGGCGCAAGCCUGACCCAGCAACGCCGCGUGAAGGAAGAAGGCUUUCGGGUUGUAAACUUCUUUUCUGAGGGACGAAGAAAGUGACGGUACCUCAGGAAUAAGCCCCGGCUAACUACGUGCCAGCAGCCGCGGUAAUACGUAGGUGGCAAGCGUGAUCCGGAUUUAGUGGGUGUAAAGGGCGUGUAGGCGGGAAAGAAAGUCAGAUGUGAAAACUCAGGGCUAAAACCUGAGCCUGCAUUUGAAACUGUUUUUCUUGAGUGCUGGAGAGGCAAUCGGAAUGCCGUGUGUAGCGGUGAAAUGCGUAGAUAUACGGAGGAACACCAGGGGCGAAGGCGGAUUGCUGGACAGUAACUGACGCUGAGGCGCGAAAGCGUGGGGAGCAAACAGGAUUAGAUACCCCUGUAGUC
rnacentral:rRNA from 1 species